GAGUUUGAUCCUGGCUCAGGAUGAACGCUAGCGGCAGGCCUAAUACAUGCAAGUCGAGGGGCAGCGCGGGUAGCAAUACCUGGCGGCGACCGGCGCACGGGUGCGUAACACGUAUACAAUCUGCCUUUAACAGGGGGAUAGCCCGGAGAAAUCCGGAUUAAUACCCCAUAAUAUAUUGAGUGGCAUCACUUGAUAUUGAAAGCUCCGGCGGUUAGAGAUGAGUAUGCGCCUGAUUAGUUAGUUGGUGAGGUAACGGCUCACCAAGACUUCGAUCAGUAGGGGAUCUGAGAGGACUACCCCCCACACGGAUACUGAGACACGGAUCCGACUCCUACGGGAGGCAGCAGUAAGGAAUAUUGGACAAUGCCCGCAAGGGUGAUCCAGCC
rnacentral:rRNA from 1 species